rnacentral:rRNA from 1 species
UAGGGAAUCUUCCGCAAUGGACGAAAGUCUGACGGAGCAACGCCGCGUGAGCGAAGAAGGCCUUCGGGUCGUAAAGCUCUGUUGUAAGGGAAGAACAAGUAACGCAGUAACUGGCGUUACCGUGACGGUACCUAACGAGAAAGCCACGGCUAACUACGUGCCAGCAGCCGCGGUAAUACGUAGGUGGCAAGCGUUGUCCGGAAUUAUUGGGCGUAAAGCGCGCGCAGGCGGUUCCUUAAGUCUGAUGUGAAAGCCCACGGCUCAACCGUGGAGGGUCAUUGGAAACUGGGGGACCUGAGUGCAGAAGAGGAGAGCGGAAUUCCACGUGUAGCGGUGAAAUGCGUAGAGAUGUGGAGGAACACCAGUGGCGAAGGCGGCUCUCUGGUCUGUAACUGACGCUGAGGCGCGAAAGCGUGGGGAGCAAACAG